UUGGAUUCAAAUUAAUAUGACCAACCAAUCAUUGAACAAAUCGGAUCUAAUAUUAAUGCGUGUAGAAUAAGAAAAAAAAAACAUCUCAUUCUAAUUAUAAGAAAUAGCUAACUUGAAUUUUUUUAUUUUCUUUCUCCAUUUUAGACUUCUUUAUCUUUAAUUUGAGCAUCAAAGUCAUUUAUUUUUUCCCCCUGAACAACAAAUUUAUUGUUCAAUCAUACAAAUGUUAAAUGUUAUGCACGUUUUGUUUACAAAGAUUAAUCUCUUAACUUAAAAAAACAAUGUGUAGGUUAAUUUUGAUGAGUAAUCACUUCUGGUAACAAUGAAAUUUAGUUUUUUUUUUUUUUUUUAAGGUAAAACAAUGGACAAGAAUUAUAUUGGAAUUCAUAUUCAAUAAUGGAGAUGCAUAUGUGGCAAUUGACUUAAUUUAAAUAUAUAUAAUUUAGAAAAGAAAAUCGAAACCCUUUUUAUUAUUUUAUAUAUUCAAUUUUGAACUUGGUUUGGUUUUAAAGAGCACUUAAAAUUGCCUCACUUCACCAAAAAAAGAAAAAAAUUAAUCAAUACUCUUUAACAAUCAUUUUCAAAGACAUUUUCUCAUUAUAAAAACACUAUUGGUUGUUGACAUUGAAACUCAAACACCCAAUUCUUUUUACAAGAUUUUGAAACAUAAAAUUGGUGAAGCAUUGGGAAUUUAUUUUUAAAAUCAGUUGAUUGAAUCUCAUAUUUGCAUUAUUGAAGCAAAAGAUAUAUAAAUUUGUGAAAAAUAGAAAAAAAAGUUGGGAUGGUAAUAAAGUAAUUCCGAAUGAAGGAAAAGGGUCCUACUGCAUUAUUUCAGAAAAUAAAGAGUUGGAAAAAGAAAAUCUGAAAUUUGGAAACUUAUCGAAAUGGACAAAGAGAGGGAGAAAAAAAUAAAAGACUUUAAAAAUAAAUCACGUACAGACAGGAGCAGAAUAACAUAAAUUACAACCUGGCCCUGAUUUUCUUUCAUCUUCAAUCAAAUCAUCGCAGAGUCCAGACACGGCACUCAACGACGACUACAAAGAUGAUGAUGAUGAUCAAAUCAUGUAAAGAUCCAACGCUCACAAAUGAGACACGACCAAACCCAUCCGAUAAAAGAAACUUAACAAAACCAAAUACACCAGAUUAAAAAGAAAAGAAAAGAGUGGCCGCCGUCGCUGCCGCGUCCGCCGUGGGUGGUGGUGGUGCUUGACUUAGUAGUCGGUGGUUGGGAGUUGCUCGUGGGAGUUGGAGAUGAAGAUGAAUUCGUAGAUGAGACCAGCAAGGCCACCACCGAUCAAAGGCCCGGCCCAGUAGAUCCAGUGGCUUUCCCAUGACCAGCUCACGACUGAUGGGCCGAAUGCGACGGCGGGGUUCAUGGAGGCUCCGGUGAAUGCUCCACCGGCCAAAAUGUUGGCUCCGACGAUGAAACCGAUUGCGAUGGGUGCAAUUGUUCCCAAACUGCCCUUCUUGGGAUCCACUGCGGUCGCGUACACCGUGUACACCAAUCCGAAUGUCAUGACGAUCUCGAAAACGAAGGCGUUCAGUUCACCAACUCCUGCUGAUAGAGCGAAGCUUCCGGUGGGCUGUCAUGCACACGAAUGUAAACCCCAAUUAAAUUAAUAAAUGAAUAAAAGUGAUUUUCUUCCCAAGUAACUGAAAUAACGACAUCUUACCCUAACAUUUAGACUCUAAUAAUCCCAUAAAAUUCCAAAAGAAAAAAAUAGCCAUUUAAUAAGAUUGCUACAAUGUGGCUCCUUCCUAAUAAUUUUUCAGUCUAUGCUUAAAAUUAUAAAUGUAUCUUAAUAAUUAUUAAAUAUAAAUUUGAGAUACUUCAAACUUUCGGUAGGAUGAUUACUUACAUUUUUCAAAAUUUUUUAAUUUAAUGCCCAGAUAUCUUACAUUGUGUCAGUAUCAUUCAAUAAUAUUUAAUUUAAAAUUUGUAAGUGAGUUUAAUAAAAAAAAAUUAACAACUUAUUCAUUUUUCUUGGGUUUGCUUAAUUUUUUUUAAUGUUAUGUUAAGAUUGACUUCUUUUUUCUCAUUUUGACUGUGUUAAGACAUUAAUAAAUUUAGGUAAAACUCACCAAGCCAGUGACGAAUUUAAGGAGCAAGCAAGCGACAACGGAUCCGAGGAGUUGAGCAAUCCAGUAGAUGAUACCACGUAGAAGGGUGAUGUUACCGCCAACGAAGGCACCAAAGGUAACAGCGGGGUUAACAUGGCCACCGGAGAUGUUAGCGCCAACGGAGACGGCAACGAAAAGAGCAAAGGCAUGGGCGAUGGAGGCGGAGAUGAGACCAGCUGGAGUGGCAGCGCCGUCAUUGGUGAGCUUAUUAAAGGCUAUGCCGGAACCUUGGCCAGCAAAAACAAAAAUCAAGGUGGAGAUAAACUCAGCCAAUCCAGCCUUCAAAGCAUCUGGAUGAGUAGCCUCUUCGGGCCUUCCAAUUGCAAUGUUACGGAUCGGCAUGGCUAGUAAUAAUUAGAGAACUUUAAAAUGAAAAUUCUUUAGAAUUAAUUGUAGUUUGUAGUACUCCAUUUCCACGUCCAUUUUCUAGGCCUUAUAAUGGAACGUUGGAGGGUAGGGUUAACUGGCUACAACAGGUUGCCGGUAAUAAUAGAGGGCAAUUAAAAAAAAAGGAAAUGAAAAAUGAAUUAAUAGUUGAACGUGAUUGGUGGACAUGGCCAGGCUGUGAAAUAUAAGGGGAAAUAUUAAUUGGUUGCCGCUGUUAUCCGAUGACCGUCCAGAUCCAGCGAAGCAAUUCGGCGCUAGGGUGUUGAGAUGUUGACACGUGUCUAUGGCUGAUAGGGACACGUAACGUGCAAAUUAUGUGGAUUUCGUCUCCUUUCGCUUGUUCUCUGGAGACAUCGAAUCCACUUCCCACGUUCAAUUAUUUCUCCACUUUUCUUCAUUUUCAAUUUUCUUUCUUUUUGGAUUUCCCCCUUUAAUCUCAUUUAAUUUCAUCCUUAUUAAUCCUUUUUUAUUAAUUAAUGAUCCUCAAAAUCUCAAUUUUUAAAUUUUAAGAUAUCUUUUUUUCUUCUUUUGGAAGGUUUUCCAUUUAUUUAUUAUAUAUCAUAUCAACCACGUUUCGAAAAUUAAGAAAAAUAUUUUAAAUAACUAAAUUGUUAAAAUAUUUAAAUUAUAACAAAAGUAUACUUUAUUUAUCAUCGUCUAUCACGUAUAAAUCGUAUAUUAAUAAAUAAUUUAGUUUAUUUUGUAAUAUUGAAAAACAAUUCAAAUUUUUACUUAGUUAUUUACUGUGUUUUCAAUUAUAAACUAUGUGUGAUUUGAUAUUUACAAAUGUUAAUAAAAUAAAUUUUGACACUCCCUGUCAUCAAUAACUAUAUAUUUAUAAUUAAGAGAUAUAAAAUACAUUUAUUUGAAUUUUUUAUUAUAAACCAUCACAUAUAUUUUAAACAUAUAUAGACUUCAAGAGUAAACAUUUUUUUUUUAAUGUUAUUUGAUAUAAUCGGAGUAUAAUUUUACUUAUUUUUAUGUAUAAGUUUUUCAAAGUAAUUUAAUUUGAUUAAGUAUGAAUUAAAAUAAUACUAAUAAGAGUUUUAAUAAAAUGUUAAACCACCACUAUCAUUGUGGUUGUGACAAAAUCAUUUUCCAAUGAAGCACAAAGUCUAAUAUUAAUGAAUUUGUUUAAAUAAUUUAAGUUGUUUCUUCUUCUUCUUUUUUUUUUUUUUUUUGGUGGAUUAUGCUGGUGAUCUGUAGAUGGUUAUCUAAAUUAUCUUAAUGGAAUCUUUGGAUAAUUAAAGACCAAUGUGAUGAGAUUUAAUAAUACCACACAUAUGUAUGUAUGUGAUCUGAUCUAAUGAUAUAUUUUUUUUAAUUUAUUAUGAAAAUUUUCCACAUAUAUAUCAAAAUCAAAUAAACAAAUAAAAGAAACAAACUAGUUUUAAAAAUUGUCUCAUUCGGAUAAUCCAUAAAUUAAAAUUCUUUCUAUCUUCCUCUUAAUUUGCAUUUAUGUUAUUUUUAUUUUUUUAUUUUUUUAAUAUAUCCAUCUGCAUUAUCCAAAUGGGAACUCUUCUUCUUUUUCUUUUAUUUAUGGAGAAAAUUUUCGUAAUAAAUCUCAGAAAAAUAUUGCAAUAUAUCAUUAGAUCAGAAUGCAUCAACUUGCCCGUGACAAUUCAAUUUUUAGGAUAAGAAUCUCUCUCUAUGUGUAUUUCUGUAUAUUAUUUGUAUUUAUAAAUAUAUAUAAUGUUUUGGUUGAUAAACAUGAGGUUUGGUUUGGUUUUAUCUUGAAUUAGGUAAAGUAUUUAAGAAUGUUAAAGAUUUUUUUAGCAAAUUCAGAGAGUUGUUUGAGGUAACAACAAAUUCAAACAUUUUUUUAAAAAUAUUUUAAUACUCUUUAAAUUUUAAUAUAUUAAAAAAAUACAAGACAAACAAACAAAUAUUUUUAAUUACUUUAUCACGAUUGACAAAUAUAUUCGUUUCACUUUAGACGUUCAUAAUUUAUAUUAAUUCACAAAAUAACUUUAGAUCUAAAUGUUUUGAAAUUUUAUCUUAUAUCAUCUACAUUUAUAACUUUUUAUGAACUAUCUUUCUAAAAAGUUAAUGUUUUUAUAAACAAGGAAAAUACAAAAUAUGUAGAUAAGAAAUUGAAAAAAAUUUCGUUUAGAAGUUCCAAAAUGAACAUCGUAGACAAAGUUUUGUUUUAGGAGUUUUUAUUACUUGGUGUGCCUAUGUUUUCGCCGUUGACAAUCUUGUCCUCGUUAGUUUUUGUCAAUGCUAAUUGAAAAUUAGUUGUGCGUAUUUGUUUACGCUCUUUUUAACUUAGUUUCUUGUUAACUUGAUCCAUUGAAUUGUUGUAAAAUUUUUACAAUGAUUUAUGGCCUCUAAUUUGAAAACAAAAUAAAUUUAUUUUUGGGAUAACAAUAAGACAAACUAAGCAUCCAAAUAUUAAUAUUAACCCUUUAAUAUAUAGUAGAAUAUUCUAUUGGAUGUUCGUUCCAUUUUUUUCUCUCUUUCUGACUUAUUAACAAAUCAUUGUAAACGAUGAUCCCACCAAUCAACAUGGGAUAAAUAUCAACUUCAUUAAACUUCCUUUAUAAUCUAUACAUUGUUUUCUAUUUUUAAAUAAAUAAUAAUAACAACAAUAAUAAUUCAUAUUCUCCCUUUUUCUCAUAUCCUAAUUUUAAUUCAAAUGUCAUAUUGGUGUGACAAGUCUCUUUUACAUAAUAUUUGUUCUCUUUAAAAAAAAUCUUGAACCUUCCAUUUAAAAUUUUGUAACUAUUUAUGACUUUUGCUAUUUCACACCAUCCAGUGUUUGGUUCGUAAUUGAUUGAGUCUGCAUAAUACAAUACAAGGUCUAGAAGCUGUCCCAUGGUUUGUUUGUAAAUUUGUCUACUCUUUUUUAUAUAAUCAUGAACAAAAGAAAAUAAAAUGUUCGUUGCUUUUACAUUUAUGCAUCCAUAACAAUUUUAAUUCAUCAUAGGUUAAAAUUGUUUACGGUUGUCAAACACAAGUAAUCUUUUGUUUUUAAAAUUACUUAUUUUUUAAAUUUAGCCGUUAAAAGAUGUAUAACAAACUUACCAAUAUUAUUUUAAAAUAUAAUUGUUUGUAAUUAUUUAUUUUAGUCUCUAACAAAUAAUUAAAUAUUAAAGUGGAAAAAAACACAAAUUUUCUUCAAUAAAAUGGAUAGAGAAUUUGGAACUCGGAAUUGAAUUAUAAAAUUUAAGUUAUGAAGCAUGUGUUAAAGUGUAAAAUUGGAAGGUAAAUUAUUUUGAUAAAAUGGUAAAAGAGAAAAGGAUAAAAAAAAAAAAAGGUAAAAUUUCUUAGGUGGGGUUGUAGUGUGGUUUAAUUUGAGCCACAGAAUGAAAGUACACAAUUUUGUGUUAUUUAAAUGAGAGGGAGAGAGUUAGUGAAGGUCUCAAAAGCAGAAGGAGAUAAGAUAUCCCACAAAUGGGUGCGGCAUCUAAUGAUUUAAGCUUGAAAAUGACCAAUUUUCUUUUCUUUUAUAUGUAUGUGUGUAUUAUGUAUUUCUAUUUUUAAUUUUUUUUUUUUUUGCUUUCAUUAUUAUAUUAAGAAAGUUUGCUUUUUGGGUGUGGGGAAAAGACGUAGAGAAUUCUGGAAUAUGCCAUCAUUGAUAUUUAAAUUCAGCGCCAAACUUUCUAAUUUUCAUUGCCUUUUAAUUAUAUUUUAGGUUUCUCUUUAAAUCCUACCAAAAUUAUUUGUUUUCAAUCCCGUGUAGCAGCAACUCGUUUGGUAUAUGUUCGAGAGUAAUCGUUUAAUAUAUGUAUGAUAAGUAAAGGUAAAAGUUUAAUUACUCAAAUAAAUACUUAACACUUUUAUACAAUUUUUAUUUAUUUAUUUCAAUAAUAAUGUAUGGAGUUAAAUAGUUUAAUUAAACGUUUUGGUUAUUGGUUAUAGAUGCAUAUAAUAUAACUAGUUGGUGAUAAAAAUUCAAAUUUUUUUAAACAUUUGAUCAUAAUAUGCUUAUCAAUGUAGUGGAAAAUGAAAAUAGAAAGAAGAAAAAAAAGACUACAAAUACAAGAAUUUGAAAGGGCAAAUUGAAUUGAUAAGGUCAAUAUGAAGGUGGGGAACAUAAAGAAUCACAUACAUGUUAAAGCCAGGCUGCCAUUUGCUCAUUGGCCUUCUCUUUCUUUUGUUGUCUUAUGGAAAUUGAAACUUGAAGGGAUCUUUCACUCUAUCACUCCCUGAUUCUGUGGCAAAUCUUUGUCAUUUUACUCUUUUAUUUAUCACUGCCCUAUCAUUUUUUGUUUACUUCAGUUACCUUAUGGUUAUGGGAGAGUAACACAAAUUAUUUCAUUUAUGACAUGAUGUUUGUGUGUCAGUGAUGUAUGAAUACGAUCUUUUUCAUGGGAAACGCUCUUAGUUUUGUUGGUUAUGUAGAGUUCUGAAAACAUCAAUAUGUCACUUUUUAGUCAUGUUAAGUACAACGGACCUUCAGAUAUCUCCACAAUGAUAUGAUAUUUGUCCAUUUUGAACAUACAUUCUCAUGAUUUUGCUUUAGCUCAACAAUCUAUAGUGGUUGGUCGUCCAUUCGACCACGAACAUGUACUUUGAACAUAACUAUGUCUCAUUCGACAACUAAGGAUUUUUUUUAGUGAUGAGACAUUAUUCUAACACCAAUUUAUUAGGGACAACAAACCUUCAAAUAUAUCUUCACAAACUUUAGGCAGGACUCUCAUGAUCACUUUGUUUUUUUGGAUUCACCCAAAAAAGUUUUGUACCAUUGGAGAUAGUUGUCAUCUCUUAUAAAUCAUGAUUAUUCUCUUAUUUAACUGACGUGAGACUUUGAUCGCAUUCCCACUUAAAAAGCUUUGAUUUUUAAAAAAUUACUUGAUGGUUUGAAUCAUUCCAUUAACGAAGUUACAAGUUUUUGUCAAUGAGAAUUUAGAUCGAUUACCGACAAAUAUAGGUUUGCUUGCAACUUUUUUUUUGGUCAAAGGUUUAUUGAUGCAUUGCUCAUUGAUUACCAUGUUAUUCAAUCAACAACCAACCUUUGGUGUUUAAUUAGAUUAAAUUAAAGAUCAUCCUCAAUGGAUGAAUGAAUUUUCUUGUGUCUCUUGAGGAUCUUGUUUCUUUUACUUAUUUUUUUUAUAAUAUAUGAUAGAUAUACAUGCACGCGAUAAAAAAAAUUAUGAGGUGAUAAACGUAAUAUUUAAUGAAACAUAAUAGCUAUUUGUGACUCUCUCAAACCACAACUACACAUUUUUCACAUUUUCUUUAAAUUUAUAGGGUUUGUUUGUUCUCCUUACACUACACGUGAGGAAAGAGACCUAUCUUUCUUUUUUGUCUCCCUUCUUUCCAUAUCAUCAUAUAUUUUUAGUUGUUCGUUAUAGUAAUUUGAUCAUAUUUGUAAAAACGCUUCGAAGGUAGAACAAACCAAUCAAGCUUAUAUAUAAAAAAAAAAAAUUGAGAAAAUGAACAAAUCUAUGAUUUUUUUUUAAAAAAAUCUAAACAUAAUUUCAACUUGCUCGACCGGUUCAAUUGCGACCUCAUACUACAAUUGCAUCAUCGCUCUCAAUCUAUACCCUAAUAAUAUCGUUAAAAGUUUACGUCGUUGGGCCUAUUUUCAGUAGAAGGUAUCCUAACCAAUAAGCUUUGAGAAUGAUAGUAAAAACGAGUGGUUGGUGGUAAUGAAAACGAAAGGAAACAAUGGUCGGUUACAACACCUUUUCCUUUCCCCAUUUUACCCUUAUUAUAAUUCACAUAAUUUAUUUUGGGUUGAAUCUCCUCGUCUCAUUCAAUACUUUUAUUACAAUUAAACCGACACAUAUUUAUUAUAAUUUUGACUUGAGUUUGUUCAAUAAUAUUAAACUACGUCAAAAAUAAGAGAGAGGGGCAUUUAUGAAAAAUCCCUUCAAACUUGAUUUGUCGUGCCGAAAUUGGAGAGUUGCUCUACGCCAGCCAGGGCCUAAGCUUGUGGGUGCGACGCAUGGUCGGCGCUUGGACGGCCCAGUUGGGCCAUUGAAAACGACUACAAUUUUGGAAAAUCUAUAACAUUUCUUUUUCAAAUUUCAAAUUUUAAUUAAAUAUCAAUCAAAAUGGGGCGGUGUCCCACCCUUUUACAUAUUCAAACCGAUAAGAACAACAAAUAUCUUAUCUGUUUAUUUAUAUAGCCAUUCUCAAAAUAAUAAUAAUUAAAUUGGUACACUCCAGAGAUGAACCUUUUCUUUUUCUGAUUGGAGAAGAAGGCAGUCUCAUCUACGUCUAAGUAAUUGGAUCUAUAGGAACCAUUAGAAAGUGUGUAUAUGUGACAAAUAGUUUUAGUAUUAAUUAUUAUUUGGAUGGUUUGAUUGGUUUAGGCGAGGUGGGGCAAGGGAAUUGUAGAGUAAUAUUUGACGCAUUGGAAGUGCAAAAUAUUUGGGCUCACUGUCGGUUGUCUUUUUGUUGGGUCGUCACCGCCCACUCUCACUACUACUCCGACCAUACCAAAUUUUCUCUUUGACCCAUUUAAAGUAAUGGACACUUUCAUUUUGUAAAUUUGUAUAUUGUUUAACGUGGAGGGUAAAUGCAAAUAUAAUAUAAUAACCAACCCUUUGAUAUCUAUAAAAAAUGAUCGGUUUAAUAAAAAAACUUAUAAAAGAUAAAUUUAAUGUAAUAUCACACCAUUAAAAGAUAAAUUUAAUGUUGUCUUCUGUCUACGAUAUAAAUAAAAUUAUCGAUAAUAUUGAUGUUUUUCUCUCUCUAUUUUAUAUAAUGUUUUAUUAUUGUGAGAUAAGGAUGUAAAUAACUUAAAUAGAGAGUUUUUGUAUUGACGUGUGAGAUAUAAUCAUACUUUUGGAUUAUAUAUAUAUAUAUGAUGUACUUGUGUCCAUAAACUCCGUCGUUUUUUUAUGGCAAAUGAUCCCAACGGACAUCAAGUAUGCAUGUUCGAUUUCGAAAUUAGAGGUUUGAUAUUUCAUUCUACGUAUUGUAAAAAAAUAGUUGGAAUUUUGAUUUUCAACUUUUAUUUUCUUUGUUUUUGUUUUUUAUUUUCUUCUUUUCAAAAUCUUAGAUUUUGUAUUAACAUGUUUUGUUAGCGUAGAUUUUAUGUUUAUCGAAUCAAUUUUUGAAUUAAAUCAUUAUGUUUUUUUUUUUUCAUGUUGCCAAAAUUUUAAAACCUAUUUUAGUUGGAAAUUUAAAAACAUAAAAGUUUGGAGUUGUAUUUCAUGUUUUCAUUUGUUAACAAACCAAUUAACUUAUAAACUUAGUUUUAUGUUAAACAUGUAUUGUAAUUUCUAGAACAUACAGUCAAAUUAUGUGGCCAAAAAGAGCAUAUCCCAACUUACAAUAUAAAUACAAUUGUGACAAAAAAAAUAAAUUAAUGGUUUGUAUCUUCCAAUCCUUCCUAUUGUACUGAAAAAACUAUCAAUCCUAACAUAUAUUUUGUAAAUCAAACAAUUAUUAAAAAUAUAAGACAAUAUAAAAAAACCACAAAUAUAAUAGUAAUUACAAUUAUAACUCAAACUUCAAAUGACACAGAUCCAAUUUCUAUAACUAUGAAGGGCGUUUGGAGGAAAGAGAGAUUUAUGAUAAGAUUAGUGUUAUGAUAAUUCUAGUAUUAUAAUAGUUCUAGUGUUAUGAUCAUAUGCGUUUGAAGAAAGAAUUACGAUACGUAGGGUUAUGAAUAGUAUAUAUAUGAGAAAAGGAUUAUGAUACUAUUGUUGUGAUGUUUUCUUUUUCUAAAAUAUAUAGUGUAGAUUUAAUACACAAAUUUCGUAAAUUUAUUUUAUUAAAUUAUCUUAUGGUAUUCGUUCAAUAAAUUUAGCAUCCAUUGUGAUGUUUCGUUUUUUCUUUCAUGCAUAUAUAUUGCAUAUUGAAUUAAAGAAACUUCCUAAAUCGAACGUACACAUCAAUAAUUUAAGAUGUGAUAUUGUGUUUGUACUUGUUUGUUUUUUCAUGCAAAUAUAUAUUUGUCAUUAGAUGGAAUAAUUUUCUUAAAAUCAUUUUUUUUAAUUUUCUUAAUUACGACAUUUAUUUCAUAAAUUUUCUAUUAAAUCGUUACUUUUACCACUUUUUCCUUUUUUGCGUACACAUGUAAGGGAAAACAUGUAAACACAAACCAUUAUUAUUAAAAUUGCUUACGUAAGAUUCUUUUUCCAUUAAAUUUCGAUCUAUCUCAACAUAAUGCUUACAUCGACAUACUAGUUUAAGUAUACAUCGCUACUAUUCGUAACUUUAGUGAUAAAGCAAUGCAAAAGACAUUUCAAAUACGCAUUUCCACGUUUCUCAUCCUCUUUAAUUUAUGGCUAAGAUAUUUUCUUAAAAAUAACUAAAAAGUGUCUAGGUCUAAUUUAUUAUAUUCUAAGCAUUGUUAUUUUUAAUUGUCACAUGUCAUCCAAAAAAUAGUACAAAAAUCUACAUUACAUCUAAACAUUUUUUUCUUUUUACCACGUACUAGCUGUGAGUAAUUUUAAGCUUUAAAAACUUUUAUUUUAAAAAAAAACAAUAAAAUUUAAGAUCAUUUUCUAUAAUUUAGUUAGAAAACAAGACAUUUAUUAGCUAAAAUUAAAAUAUUUGGAUAAGAUUAAUAAGAACUAUAUUGAUUUUCAAUUGAAUAACUUAAUUAAAAAAAACUAUUUAGUUAAAGAAGAGUGCAAGUAUAGACUCCCACUUUCGUUUAUUUAAAGAAAAAAAGAAAGAAGAGGAAAACCCAUGCGUUUAGGGUUUAGUAUGUAUACAUGGGUCAUGUCAAUAGGCUUUUUCGUAAUAUUCUCCUUUAAAUCUUCUUCUACAUUUUCGGAGGGGCUUACCCGAUUCACCCUUGAUACACCCAAAUAGCCCCUAAGUUUGAAAGUUAAUAGUGUGAUUGCAAUUUCCACCCGUUUUUUGUUGUCUUCUUUUGUUUUGUUUUUUUCUUUUAGUCGCAAAAUUUCCAAAAUAUAAUGACAAGCUGGUCCAACAUAUAGCCCAAUUCAAAAGCAGUAUACUAUAAAUGGGCCGAAAGCAGUGUCCUAAAAGUGGGCCAUUUUUCGGCCCACACUUACAUUGACCUCAAACGGCUUAGCCCUCCAAAAAUGGAAAUGUGAUGGAGACGUAGACGUAGGAUAAUUGUUGCUAAAAGUACUCUUUGAUGAAGAAUUAACGUGGUAAUAGUGCAGUGCAUGUUGCAUAUACAAUCUCAUGGUCACAUCAAUUAAUGCUCUAGAAUUGAGAAGUCCAGCUACUCGUGGUCACAAAACGUAUGUUCGAACGUUAAAUAAUAUAAAUUUAAAGUAAGAUAAAAUGAGAAUAAGUAAAUAUGAAACGAUAUUUUCCUUGGUCGAUGGACAUUGUCUCGUUUUAAGCUAUUGAGAAUUUAAUAACAAAACAUUAGAAAACUAUUUCUUUCAGUUUUGACUUAUUUUUCCCUUUAAAUGUGAAAAUAGCCUGAAAUAUCAUAUGUAGAUAUAAUUAGACUAAUUCCAUAUCAUUCGGCUCGAAUUUUUGCCUCUUCACAUCGAUGAUUGAAAAUCAUUAACCAAGGGCGUCAAAUUUAAUCAUAUUUAUUUAAUAAUAAUAAUUAUAAAUUAAAAACACAAACCAAAUAAAUAUUUUUGAGCGUUUUUAUCAUUCGCUCAAAGUAAAUAAAUCAAGUUCAAAACAUAUAUUUAUUCGAUGAAAAACAUAUUCAAGUUUGAUAUGUAUUCACACUUUAUAUAACUUUGUAUAACGUAAAAUAAAAAAUACACUUUUUCAAUAAAUAACUAUCAAGCUUUAGUCAUAAAGCAUAGUAAACUUAUUUGAUUUGUACUAUACACCUCAAGUUUUAAGCAUAGAUUUUGAAUUAACAAACCACUUCAUUUACAAAGUUCUAUGAUCUAAUCUAAAUAAACUAUCUUUCUUGAUCUAUUGUAAUUUACGGUAAAUAGAAUAUAACAUAGUAUUAUAUUUGAAAUAGUUAUCAUUUACAUAUUCUUAAAACUUUAGAAGAAAAAGAAAAUAAUCAAACUAUGUUCUUAAAAAGAAAAGAAAAUAAAUAAAGAAAGAAAGAAGGAAAUGGGGAAUUAUUAUUAUUAUUUAAAAGCGAAAUGAAUAAAAAUGACUAAACCCUCCAGUUGUUCCUUUUCCAAAACCUCCACGAUUUUCGUUCUUCUUCCUCCCGCCGUCGCCGCAGCCCACCCUCCAAUAUCCCUGCUGCAGUCGAACGCCGGCCUGGCACGCCAUUCUCGCAGCUCUAACACCCACCUACGUUCUUCUACGGCUGCUAGUCGUCAGUUCCACACUUAGUCUUCCACGGCCUCUCCAUGGUGAAGGCCUACCUUCGAUACGAGCCUGCGGCGGCUUUCGGAGUGAUCGUCUCUCUUGAUUCCAAUAUUACCUACGAUAGUUCCGGAAAGCAUCUUAUUGCUCCAGCUCUUGAAAAAGUUGGAGUCUGGAAUGUUCGUCAAGGUGUCUGCACCAAGAAUUUAACACCUACUCAGAGCUCUCCUGGCCCUUCUCUUGCUGUUACGGCCGUCACUUCCGCUCCUUCUCUUCUGGUUAGUCGUUUUCUUAUGGCAUUCCGAAAUAAUUUUGAAGUUACUAAGUUUGAGAUUCCUUCUACAGAAUAUGAAAUAUGUCUGUACUCUGAAUUGUUAAAUUUCAAUUGAUUUCAGAAAACUAUUUUAAUAGAAGUUCUUACCGCCAUCAGGUCCGCGGUGAUUUGUUGAGCCGAAAGCUUAUUCAUUAGUGAUGGUGACAAUAUCUUGAGGAAAAAAAUUGAUAGAAACUUUUAUUAAUUUUCAUCUUUAUCUUAAGUUGAAUUUUUGUAUGCAUGGAUGCUUGGAAGCAAAAAUUUCUUUGUCAAUUGAGAAAAACAGAAAACACUCUUAGGGCUUGAGAUUCAUUUGGUGUUAUGCUCAUUAUGCUUGUUAUAACUAGUGAGAACUGGCUGGAGGUUUGGUUCCAUUUCUAAACAAAGCAGUAUUUUGGCUCUGCCUGACUUUCUAUACAAUGGGGAAGUUGAAUUUCCAUUCAUUUUUAUUUUUAUUUUUUAUUGUUACAGAUCGCCAGUGGAUAUGCUGAUGGUAGUAUAAGAAUUUGGGACGCCGACAAAGGAACCUGUGAGACUACUUUACAUGGACAUAAAGGGGCUGUUACCGUCCUUAGGUACAACAAGCUUGGUUCCAUGCUUGCAUCUGGAAGCAAAGAUAACGAUAUUAUAUUAUGGGAUGCUGUUGGUGAGACAGGCCUUUUUCGCCUCCGUGGCCAUCGUGAUCAGGUUCACAAGUAUUACAAUUUGAUUGGAGCUAUUUUUUUUUUUUUUUCAUAUUUGAUUCUCUGAUAAAAAGAUAACUUCUUUUAUCAAGCUGAACCUGGUACACCGAAAGUAGAGCUCAAGUCUUCCUCCACUGCUUUGUCUUUUCUGUCCAGUGGAGUUUUUUCCUUCAAAAUGGCAGAUAUCGUGAACCUCUCAUUUGAAUUAUUGUGCCCACAUUGCUCCGAAAUUCGAUGUGCCAUACACUUUUCCAGCACCAAUUUUUCUUAAGAUUUCUAAACUACUCAAUUUAGAUUCUUGGCCUCUUCCCUUCAUUCAACUUUAUUCUGAUUUAGUUGGUUUAGGUUCUUGUCUAUGUAGAACUCAAGGACAUGGUUGUUCAACCUAUGAAACAUAUCCCGUUCACGUUAGAUUCUAAGCCUAAUUUUGUUGAUGAGUAUAUUUUUUAUGUAGUUCUCCUGUCAAAGGAUUUUCCCCCCUCCCCAUCUUUUUAGGUAGGCCUGAUUCAGUUGAUUACUAUCUUCUAGCAUGUGUAGAUUAUAUAAGAGGCCUGUCAUUCUCAUAGCUAUUUUCCUGUUCACUAAUGCCUUCUCCUUAUUCUUGGUGCAGGUAACUGAUCUGGUAUUUCUAGAUUCAAGCAAAAAACUCGUCAGUUCUUCCAAAGACAAAUUUUUAAGGGUGUGGAAUCUUGAAACACAGCAUUGUAUGCAAAUAGUUGGUGGACAUCAUAGUGAAAUUUGGUCAAUGGACAUUGAUCCAGAUGAGCGUUUUUUAGUUACUGGAUCUGCUGAUCAAGAACUUCGAUUUUUCACAACUAAACACGAUUUGGUGGCUGGUAAGUCUGUCGAUGAAUCAAACACAAAUGGAACCAAGGACAGUGAUCAAUCCACUCAAAGUAAAUGGGAAGUUCUAAAACAGUUUGGUGAAAUUACGAGACAAAGUAAGGAUAGAGUUGCCACUGUGAGGUUUAACAAGUCCGGAAAUUUGUUAGCUUGUCAAGUGGCAGGAAAGACUGUUGAGUUAUUCAAUGUUUUGGACGAAACUGAAGCUAAGCGUAAAGCAAAACGUCGUAUUAAUCGGAAGAAAGGAAAGAAAGCUGGAAAGGGAGAACAAGAUGUAACAGAAAAUGGAGAGUCAAACCAUACUACUGGAGAAGAAGGAAGCGGCUCCAUGAUUACAGUUGCAGAUGUCUUUAAGCUACUCCACACAAUUCGGGCUAGCAAGAAAAUUUGUUCAAUUUCUUUCUGUCCAUUGAUUCCAAAAAAUUCGAUCUCCACAGUAGCAUUAUCUUUGAAUAAUAAUUUAUUGGAAUUUUAUUCCGUGGGAAGCAGUGCAGUUACGAAAUUACAUUGUAUUGAACUCCAGGGUCACCGUUCUGAUAUCAGAAGUGUAACACUUAGUUCCGAUAAUUCACUUUUGAUGUCCACUAGUCAUAAUGCUGUAAAAAUUUGGAAUCCAAGUACUGGAUCUUGUCUUCGUACUAUUGAUUCUGGCUAUGGGCUUUGUGGUUUAAUUAUUCCUCAAAACAAGUAUGCACUUGUUGGAAAUAAAAGUGGGGCUAUAGAAAUUUUGGACAUUGCAAGUGGCAGUUGUGUCGAAGUCUUAGAAGCUCAUGGUGGCUCUAUACGAUCAAUUGUGGCUUUACCGUAUGAAAAUGGAUUUGUCACUGCUAGUGCUGACCAUGACAUUAAGUUUUGGGAGUAUCAUAUUGAGAAAAAAUCGGAACAAGUAUGUUCUCUUACUUCUUUCAUCUCCAUAUUUUUCUAUUUUGACUUAAAGAAAAUUCUUUUAUUUAGGGGUAUUGUUUUAUUUCUUUUGUGAUAAAAUGAAACUUGAUUUUCUCAAGUAAGACGGGCCUUUUCCCUGAAGUAGUUUGGUGCACAAUGACUACUUUAAUAUGUCUUCUUCUUGGCCACUUGUAAUUUGAUCAAAAAUCAUUUUUGUCUGUGCAUGGUUUCAAAUUUUAGAUUAUGAAUUCCUUGAGUUACAAAAGAAUUUGGAAUGUAACUUUUUACAAGAUUAUAAAAGCCAAAGGAGUCAUACAGAAGAGACUGGUCUUUAAAAGUUCAAUUUUUUCGUUCAGGCCGUAAGUGCCAGACAAGCAUUUUAAUGACACAGCUACCGAAAACCCUAGCUUUAGCUAGCAAAUUCAAACCAUCAAGACCUUCAAGGAGCCAUCCCCCUAGGACUUCCUUGAUUACUACUUCUUUUAAUAAAAUUUUCAUGAGAUAAACUUGUCUCAGAUAUUUUAAUUUUCUGUAAGAAUACAUUUUAGCUUUGUGCUUAAAUUGAUCUUUGACAAUGAUUCUGGCUGCUUUAUAUUUAGGUUUAGUAAAUAUUAUAUGUGGAUGAACUGUUUGAAGAAUCGAGGAUGUUUCAUAUUUGGAUUUAUCAAUGUGAUGUCUUUUUCAGUUUCCUUGUAAUUUAUUUCCACUCUAGAUAUAUAUUCAGUGUUAUAUGUGGCCUUUGGGCAUCAUUAGAAUCUAUGCCUUUUUAGGUUUGUGAUGUUCCAAUGAUGUUUUCUGAUUUACAGGACCCCAAAACCCUUUCUGUGACAUUUGUGAGGAGUAUGAAGAUGAAUGAUGAUGUUCUUGUGGCUGCUAUUAGUCCUGAUGGUAAAUAUCUUGCUGCAGCGCUGUUGGAUUCCACAGUGAAGGUGAACUUUUCCUUGUUAAAUUUUUACAUUUUUAUUAUUGUUGUUUUGUGAUUGUGAGCACAUGAAACCUUCUAUUAUUGUGUGUUUGUAUCAGCUUCUUGAGUAUUGCUUUUGAUACAGCUAAAGUUCAAUUUGGAGGAGGUGACAUUUACAUUUCUUUGCUUCGGGCUUUGUUCACUUUUUAUUUACAUAAGUCAAGUCAUCCCUUGUCAUGUGGCGUUGUUAAUGACUUUGUAUCACUUAUUUUGAAGUAAUCUGGACAGCCCCAGUAAGACUGUAUUUGGCCUUUCAGCUUGGGGUAGUUUGGUACGGUUACCUAAGAAGCACACUGUUAGACGUUGAGUUAAAUAUCUCACUUCUCAAGAAUUGUGUUAAAUCAUCAACCAACCCAAAAGCCAAAGUUGUUGGCCAUGGUAAAUUUAAUUAUAUGAAUACUUAAACACUCCCACACUUUUAGGCUUUGAAAUUUGUAGAAUUUAUAACAAGUGAAAUUUAAUAUUAAUCAAGGAGAAGUGACUUUUCAGUAGUUAAAAUUGUAGCCGUACCUUCUUCUUUGAUAUUAUAUUAAAUCACCAAUCAACCCAAAAGUUCAAGGCGGUGGAUUACGAUAAAUUUAGUUAUGUAAAUACCUCGACAUGUUUUGUAUUUUUGGGUUUGUAUUAAGAGAUAAGACAUAGUUCUUAUACCUUUACCUUCAGACUUUUUUUUUUACUAAUAUGUCUAUCUCAUGCUUAUAAAAUAAAACCAAAGGUAUUACUGUUAGUGAUAUAUAAUUAAAUUUUCUUUCCACCACUAGCUUAAUUUUUUGGGUGAAUUGGAGGUUUAAUAUGGUUUCAGAGCAGGUGAUCCAGGAAGGUCCUGUGUUUAAGCCGCUGCAUUGUCGUUUUCUCUCCAAUUAAAAUUGAUUUCCACUUGUUGGGCCUUUCAAAUAUUUCGAGCCCACAAGUGAAGAGAGUGUUAGUGAUAUAUAAUUAAAUUUGUCUUCAAUCACUAGCUUAAGCUAUUGAUGGUUUAGUAAUUACUACUUUAUUGCUUCAAGUUAUAUUUUCUGACUGCUUGUGUUCUCUCCAUUCUAGGUCUUCUUCAUGGAUACCUUCAAAGUUUUCCGUACUCUAUAUGGUCACAAGCUACCUGUGCUAUGUAUGGAUAUCUCAUCAGAUGGAGACUUGUUAGUGACUGGCUCUGCAGACAAAAAUUUAAAGAUUUGGGGUUUGGACUUUGGUGACUGUCACAAGUCUAUUUUUGCUCAUUCAGAUAGGUGAUGCAUUCAACAUAUAUGUAUUUUCAUUUGAAAAUGUUGUGGAAUGUUUAUUGAUUGUAAUUUUCUGGUUACAGUGUCAUGGCUGUUCAAUUUGUGAGGAAAACUCACUAUGUAUUCAGUGUUGGAAAGGACCGCCUUGUAAAGUAUUGGGAUGCUGAUAAAUUUGAGUUACUUUUAACGCUUGAGGGACAUCAUGCUGAUGUUUGGUGUCUUGCUAUCAGCAACCGUGGUGAUUUCUUAGUCACAGGAUCUCAUGAUCGAUCCAUACGUCGGUGGGAUCGAACUGAAGAACCGUUUUUCAUAGAGGUGCAGUCACUUGUUUCUUCAAGAGUAUCAAAUGAUAUUCUAUCAAUGGACGAUAUUCUAUUAAUGCUGUUAUUUAAUGUUUAAUAUGCUCCUAUAAUAAUUAGAAUAUACAAUAUUCAAUGUUGUGUUGGAUUCUCCUUUUUUCAGGAGGAGAAAGAAAAACGACUGGAAGAAAUGUUUGAGGCCGACCUUGACAAUGCAUUUGAGAACAAGCAUAUGCCCACUGAAGAAGUUCCAGAGGAGGGUGUGGUUGCUUUGGCUGGGAAAAAGACUCAAGAGACUAUUUCGGCUACAGAUUUGAUAAUUGAUGCUCUAGACAUGGCAGAGGCAGAAGCCAAGCGUAUAGCUGAACAUGAGGUCUGGAAACUUUUAACAAGUUUCAUCAGUUUUACUUUGUUCAAGUUUUACGAUUUAAUGUUUUGUACCUUACGGAAGACUGUUAUAAUGUUUUGUAUUUAGGAGGAGAAAAGAAACGGGAAAGCUUCUCAUUUUGAGCCAAAUGCUCUGAUGCUUGGGCUCUCACCAUCUGAUUAUGUUCUCCGUGCCCUCUCAAAUGUUCACACAAAUGACUUGGAGCAAACGUUACUGGUAUGUUGUGAUUUGUGAAUCAAGGAUUCUCAGUUUCAUUCAUGCAAAUUUUAAGGCUUGGUAUAUCGAUGCUGGUUCUCAUGAUAGAAGUGCAUUGCCAUUUUUUGUAAGAUAUCAUUGUUGUCUGGUACUAAAAAUACAGUGGUUAUCUAUAUAUACACAAACCUAUUACGUAUGCAAAAUUUUUGUCCUUAUCCUCUUGCUAAGCUUGACUGUGUAUGUGUCGUAGUAGUUACACAUUUUUUUUAAUUUCUUCUGGUUUCUUUGGCAUGUUAAAUGUUUUUCUAAAAUCGACUAGAAACUGGGGUUCCUUAGCGAGCUUGUACUGUAUAUUGUUUAUCUUCAGGUUGCAAAUUCUAGUUUCAACCUUGAGUUUGGUGUUCAAUACUGAAAGCCUCAUUGCCAUUUUGUUUCUCUACAGGCUUUACCAUUCUCAGAUUCUCUGAAGCUUCUAUCUUACUUGAAAGAUUGGACUUCCAAACCUGACAAGGUAGUCCUAGACUCCUAAUUAAUUUCUGGCUACACAUGUUCUGAUUAUCUAGUUUCUUACAAACAAUAGCUUCAGACCUUCUAGCACAUUCUUCGUGUACUUAAUGUGUUAUCUUUUCGUUCAUUUGAUUGGCAUUUAAUUUGGUAAGUUCAAGUUUAUGGAUUCUAUUCAUUAUGAAAAUAUGUUUUUUUUGGAAUGUUUUAAUAGUUCUUUUACAAGAUCACCCCGGUUGCUUCGUCUAGGGAAUGUAUUAUAAGGAGAAAGAGCAUAAGAUGUUGCAUGAAUGAAGUUAAUAAUACUAGCAGGAUGAAAACAUUCAAUAGGUACUAUUCUAUAAGUGACCUUGAUAUUAAUGAAUGCUUAUUUAUGUGAUAUCUGCAGGUUGAGCUCAUUUGCAGGAUAUCUACAGUUUUACUGCAGACGCACCAUAAUCAGCUUGUUACUACCCCUGCGGCAAGACCUGCAUUAACUAUUUUACGAGACAUUCUUUACGCUAGAAUCAAGGUACUCCUGCGAUUAUUUUAAGUUUUUAUAUGCUUUCUCCCUCUAUUUCUCAUUUGUUUCUUGAUGUGAGCACUUCUUCAUGACAACUAUGAUGUAGACAGGGAGAAUAGUCUGCGAGCCAUUAAAUAGGGAUGGAUAACUGUUAACAACUUUAACCCUAGUAGUUACAAGGUUUAAAUCUGAACUCAAUUAGUCAUCCACUUAGUUGAGGCUGUAAAAACGACUGUAACUGGGCUAAUGAAUAAAGCUCAAAACCGACAGAGAUUUAGAAGAUAGAUUGGUUUGAACUUUAAACCAUAACUUUAAUCAAGAGAAGUAAGUGAAAGAACUAUUCAAGAAUGACACAAGAUGUCCGACAUCAACGUUACUCACUUAUGGUUAAUGACUUCUAACAUUCCACUUCUGCGAGGAUAAACUCACUUUCCGUAAUACGUAUGAAAGUACCGAAAGCCGUGAAGUUGCUAAAAUGAGCUAAUUGUAAGAAGACAAUAAUGAUGAAAUAAAGCUUCGAAGAGGACUUGAAAUGCCCACGACCCAAAUUUUCUCCUUUGAUAUAUUAAAACCAUAAAAUUUAGGUGUUAGAGUUGCGAUUACAAAAAAAUGUGACAAUUCUGAUCCCCAAAUUUCUUCAGUAUUGAAUUACCAUAUGAUUUAGCUUGUUUUUUUCAUUAAAAUUGAAUUAGCAAAAUAUGUGUUUCAUUGACAAUAUGAACAUCUAAUGUCUUAGGAAUGCAAAGACACCAUUGGUUUCAACUUAGCAGCGAUGGAUCAUCUUAAGGUUUGUGUUUCAGUUUCGAAUCCUUUUGCAAUUGAUUUUCAUGAUAGGCAAUUUGAAUAAGUUAUUUUCAUCAUUUCAGCAACUAAUGGCCAUGAGAUCUGAUGCACUAUUCCAAGACGCUAAAUCGAAGUUGCAAGAAAUUCGUUCUCAGAACUCUAAGCGUUUGGAGAUGAGAACAGACACAAGACAAGUGAAGAGGAAGAAGAAGAAUAAGUAAAUCCACUGGCCUCACUUGCUUGGCUUCUACUUGUAUCUUAGGCACUUUGUUUAGAGAGGAUGCAGUUUGACAGGAUGACGUGAAAGUUUGUAGAAUGACACUAUGUAUUUGGAAUCUUCCAAUGGACAGCGUUUUCAAGUUCUUACUCAGAGGCGAAUUCUGCAAGGAGACAUGACAUGGCGGUAUGCAUACUCAUAAUCAACACAAAGUAGGCAUAGGGGGGAGAGUUUGUAAGAUAUCCUUCACAAUUUUGAUUUUACUAUUAAAAGAGCAAGCAAUUCUCUGCAAUUUUGUUCUCCUGCUAUUUAUAUUUACAUAGAAAUGGAGUUGAAGUUGCAUGUAAGUGUGUUCAAGUGGAAUAUUAUUUCUAUACUAUUAGUUUCACUUCCAUUUAUCGUGGGCGAUGACAUUAGCUUUUCUAUACAUCGAUAAUUUGUAGUGAACUCCCAAAUUGUUAUAAGUUCAUGGUACACAAAAAUUGGAUGGAGUUAGUAAACAAAAUCAUCUCCGAGAACUAACCAUUUGGUAUUAGUUAUACUCAAUUUUCUUAGUUAUGUACGAUCUCACUGUUUGAUUGGUCCAUCUUUAUUGGUUUUAGGUAAAUUUUUGGUAUGGAACUGAUAACUGAAGGGAAGGGAAAAAUGAUGUGAGAAAUGGGACAGAGAUGAAGGAUUGAAAAUAGUGUAUCCUAUAUUUUAUUACUGGAAUUUGUGUGGUAGAAAUCAACCCUAAAAUUUGAAUACAAUUUUAAGUUUUGCUAUGAUUUCUGAAUAAUUGUGAUCAAUCAAUUCUUAGACUUUCUCGACAACUCUUCUAAAAUGCUUGAAUAAUACAAUCAUGUUUGUUCUUGAAAAAAAUGGUAAUUUUCACAAAACAAUCAAGUAUGUUACUGUUUGCUUGUUGAACGAGACCUCCCUCUAAAAAAUUUGAAUCUAGUUUCAAUUAUUUGGGAAUACUAAGUUUGUGUAACACUAAUCUUUUAUAGUCACGAUUUAUUUUAAGAUUAUACCAUAAGUUGAGUCAUUUGAGUCAUUUCAGUUCAAUAAUGGAGAAAGCAGAAUUGAAACUAUCCACAAGCUUUUACAAACAUUUUCCUUCAUUUUUGUUCACAUCUAUUAAUUUCUUAAAAGACGAUAUUACUUUAAUAAAUAAUGGUAAAAAGAGUGGAGAAGAGAACUAUAGGUAGAAAUCGUGGACCAGAUCCAUAAUUUUCACUAACAUGAUGUCAUGACUUACCUAUUGCCUUUGAAGUGCCAUGCCAUCUAUAAAUUCCCAAAGGGUUGCCAAAUCAAAGAGUGGAAAUGAUUGCCAUAUUUAUCAUUUAGUUAUGUUCUAAUAAAUUUGCUGCUGGUCCUAGUUUUGUCAUUUCUUUAAACUACAUUAUUUUUAAAAUUAACCCACCAUGAUUCUCUUUAGGUAAAAUUUGAAUUUUUGUUCAAAAUCUAUAGGAAAAAAAGUUUAUAGAAAAAUUUAUUUAUUUUAUUUUUUAUGUGAAGGUAACAAAGGAUAAAGUUCAAUUAUUAGAAAUAAAAAAUAGUAGAGCAUAUUAAACAUCUGCUUUUAAACUAGCGCACAAUUUAAUGACAACACUUUCUUCAAAAUGAUCGCAUUUCAUCUCCCUCUAUUCAACAAUUCUUCGACAUCUUAUCUAUCCAUUCUCUUGGCAAAUAUUAUUGGAUAGAAUACACAAAAACUGAUACAGAACAAAAGUUUCGCUCUUCUUUAUUGAAACAUGAAGAUAAACCACCUACUAGCACGUGGAAAUGAGUUGAGACCAGCAGGCAAAGGGAUUGAACGAAAAUAAAAUCCUAAGCCUACAAAAAGAUUUCACUAGAGGAAGGAAUUGAGAUCUGUACCGCAAAGGGGGUUGGGCCAAAAUCAGACCCUUUGGUCCAAAUCCUUUUGAAAACAUCUCCACCUACACACCUGAAUUUCUAAUAUAUGGUGGUGUGGUGUAUAAGUUGAUCCUUAGUACUUAUGCAUAAGUUCCUUGUAGGCGUCCGGAUGCUCCGAGUAGUAUUUCACUUCCGCCUGCAAAUGACGAAUAGUUUCACGCAUUAUAGUUUGUGAUGUCAUGGAGAUUUCUCCAAAGGCCUAUUUGGAUUGAUUUUGAAGCGCUUAGAAAAUGUUUUUGAAUGAUACGUAAUGUUUUGAAGCACUUGCAAUAUUUAAAAUAAAUAAAAAAUUCAAAGAGGCCCUUUUCAUGUUAUAUGCUCACUGAAAUUUAACUAUUCUUAUUGAACUAAGUGAAAAUUACGUUAUCUAUAUAUCUUUAACAGUCUAGUUACGAAGAAACUGAAUGUUGAGAUAACGAAACAGACAUGUAAUUACAGCUGAAGGACAUUUCAUUCCAACUUCACUGACAAAUUAAACAUAUUCGAGUACUGUAGACGACUUAAGUUGACUAUUGAAAGUGGUUAGGUGGAUGCUUGUCUAAGAAUCAAGCAACAAGUUGAAAAGUAAACAACUGGGUCCACAUAUAAGAGGAACUAUAAAGACCAAAGGAAUGUAGUCUGUGUGAAUAAAUGCUAAAUUGGGUAAAAACCAUUAGAUUACCGCAAAAUUUCAGUAUCUUCUAAUGGAUAUCUAGAAGCCUAAGCCUUUGCUUACAUGAAAAAACAUUUAAUUAAAGGUAAUGAAAUUAAAGAGGGUGCAAGGAGACACAAAAAUCUCCCUCCAACGGCACAUUGGUAAGAUUUGAAAGGGAUAACUAGUAGUAACAGAACUUCAACUUGAGACAGAGGAGGCUCAAAAUAAAAUCGGAGUCCACAUGUAGUUGCUAGAGCUCUCUUUAACACUGAAAUACCCUAUUUCAGUUUAGAUAAGUAAGGCAAAAGAGAUAAGUAAUAAAGUAGUUUGUCUCCAAAGCAAAAGAGAACUCCAUAAGCCUUCUAUAAAAAAAAAACUUAUUUUGCACAUGGCUGCAAAACACUUGCUCAGCGUACUUACAAGCUGAUUAUUGGAUGAGGAAGGUUGAAACGAAGAUGUUUAGCAAGUUAUUCCAAAGCAUGGAAGGAAAAACAACAGGAAGAGGAAGCUUGGCAUCUCUCUACUAGUUUUGCAAAGAAAACAACAAUUUAAGUUGAGGUAGGAGUUUAUUUCUUUUCAGAAUUCUGUCACUGAGGUAGAUUUCUUUGGUAAGAGCUGAAGAAACAACCGUGAAGAUGUCAAAGUGAUCCAGAAACCAAGUUCCGGUGACAUUGCCAAAUGAUAAAUGCACUCUUCAAUAAGAUCCAGGAAAUGGAAGUCACCUCUAACCAAAAAAAAAAAAAAAAAAAAAACACUACUGAAACCAAUUGUCUAGCUCAAGAGGAGACAUGCCUUCUUAAGUUCGCAAAUUCCCACAAAAGUUUUGGUAUGACCACACAUGAAGAUCCUAAAUCACUAGUCUGUUUUGGUACGACCUCACUUGAGCAUCUUACAUCAUUAGUAGGUAGAGAGGACUCUACAGAGACAAUUUUGAAGUUUUAGUAUACGUUGAACUCCUGGAAGAACCUUGUAAAGGAAAGCGGUGGUAGAGGGGCAUGAAUCAAAAUAUAUCUAAAUGGUGAGGCCUAUAUGGUUAUGAUUAUAAGUAAGGCCUAAAGCAUGUAGAACUGAUCAAAAGAAUCAAAAUACAUUUAAAUGGUGAGGCAAUACAAGUGAAAAGAACUACAAGCCAUGACAAUUACCAUGAGAUAAGCCAUGAAAGUCAAAUUGCAUGCAUACCUUGCGAAUGGCCUUUAUGGCAACCACCAACUUUUCACCUAUAAGAUCUGCCAAGAUAUUGUCCUUUUCCAGAGCUUCUACAGAUUCAGAAAGUGAUUGUGGCAACCUUUGGAACUUUGAACCAAGGCUAGAUGGAUUUGUAUCUGUUUAUGAUCCAGGUUAUUAGAGUACAAGAUAGAACAUUUUGGAGUACUUUGCAUACACAUAAAAAAACAUCAUGUGAAUCCAAAGAGAAAACGCAACCACAUAAGCAUGUUAAAGGUAUUAAAAAAAGGUGCAAUGGCUAGAUUGAAAAUGUUCCUCGUCAACAAGAAAUAUUGCACUACAUAACAUUCAAUAACCUACAAUUCUAUUAAAGCAAACUGCUCUCCACGUGUAGUUCCUAGAUGGUUAAAGUUAAACUACUUAUUUAAUAAACGUAUUAAUAGUUUCUACCAAGUGAACUACAUCUCUUCCUCAAUUUGUAUACUAAGGUAAACAUAUGGAGACCUUACCUAUAUUCUCCUAUAAGAACAUAGGGUAGCUUAACAAGUUUCCAUUCCUAGUACUUCCAUUAUUAUUACUUUUUCUAAUAAGGCACCAACUUUUCAUUAAGAUUAACUAAAUGAAAUGAGUAUUGCACAAAAAUGCAAAGUCCAAAAGGAGAAAAAGGUCCAUCUCCACUAUAUCAUAAUAUUUAAUCCCGUUUCCAUAAUUUUUUUUCAAUGGCUAAUGGCACUAUGAAAAGUUGAAAACUUUGUCCCCUACUCCAUCCAGUUGUAUUAGAAGAGUAAAAGUUGGGAGACACCAGGGUUCGAACUCACUCAUUGAUGGAUAAAAAAUGAAUGUCUUCACCACUGUAUUCCUAAGGAGUACUUCUCCAUCUAGCUGUACUAUAAGGUAUCAGGCAAGUUUUGUAAAACGGGGCAGAAAGUACCAUCCAUCAUUAAAUGGGUUCAAGGCAUCAAAGUUCUAUGUUUCUACAUAUUCAACAUAAUUCAAUUUACUCAACUGAAAAAAGAAUCAAUAAAGUUAGACCUAAAAGUUGGUAUAAAUUUCAUGUUUCAACAUAUUCAUAGCACACUGUUUCAUGCAGUGCAGGCUUAUAUCACAAGAAUCAACAUGAAAAGGAAUUAAAAUUGCAGCCUUGCAGGCCUUAAAGUUGAGAGCUUAUGUUUUGAGUUUUGAUGACAUAAUAAAUGACUAAAUCAAACAAGGCUUAAAUUGACUGAUUAGAUCUCCCGUUUUAAAAAAUGGCAACCAUAUCAUUAUAUAUAUAUAUAUAUAAAUCUCAAACUUUUGCUUUCGGUUCUGUUUUUUUUUUACCGCAAGAAAGAGGGAGGUAAACAUCAAUGUGUAUUGACACAUAUCAUUAACUAAACCAUUGGAUGUGAAAAAGUUUUUAGGCAAGAAUAACUUAUCAUUUUGAUUAGUUGUGCCAUUAAUAUAAAGUCUAAAUUAUAAAAAUAGUAGUACUCUAGAUAGUUUAUUGAAACCAGGACACUUACCAGCAGGUUCAGGCAACUGAAGAUUGUUCCGAAGGCCAUCUAUUCCGGCAGAAACAAUAGCAGCCAUACCCAAGUGUGGAUUUGCACAACCAUCAAAACAUUUGAUCUCAAAGUUACUCACAAAACCAUCCGAAAUCCCAGGUGGACAAGCCGUUCUAAGUGGAGAUUCUCUGUUUUCUUUUCCCCAACAUUGAAAGGCUCCGCUCCACAUAUUGGGUUGUAAACGAUCAUAACUACAAGCAAACAAAGUUGCCGAAUUGGCAGGGAAGUGACAGAAGUUAUUAAGUAGCCACAUUACCUUAGAUGGAAGCAACCAUUAUAUUAUUGAAAAGUUGAUCCAUUAAGAUGGAAGAUUUCAUCAAUUUUACAGCAGAAACCAUGCAUGAUUGAGAGUCAAGAGAGCAUGGAAUUGAUAAUUUGAAAAAUAAAACACAUGAUUUUGAGGAGAUAAUCAAAUAAUGAAACAAAUAAUCAACCAGCCAACAAAUAGGACAUGCAUACAAAGAAGACAUGUCAUGAGCAUAAAUGUUAUGGGAACACAAGGACUUUUUCCAAGUGGUCACCCAACUUAGUUAACGUUAUUUGGUGACCAUAGCUACUUGUUAGGUCAAAUGCAAUGCCAAACAUUGUUGUGUUGUGGAAGCUACCAUGGCAAAAAUUGGCAACUGGCUAUUAUUGUAUAAUUGUGGGAUUUGGUGUUGUUCACCUGUUUGGAACUGGAGCUGUAAAUGCCAAAAUUGAUGAGAUAUGGUGUAAAACCCCUGCCAUGAACUUUUCCCCAAUAGCUGACAUUCCAUGUUUAGAAGAUCCAUCAGACGCCAUGAAAACAUUUUUACCAUUCUGCCACAAGCUGACAUGCACAUGGGAUCCAGAACCAAUAUCAUCCAGAUCGUACCUAAGCAAUAUUAAGAAAUCACGAUGUUAUUCAUUUUAGAUUACUGGGUUUCUAAACACUACAAAUCCAAGACAAAACAAUUUUACGGCCGCACCAUAUUUUCCAUCGCUGUACCAAUCAUAUUAGUUUUGUAUUCAUAGUCCCUCCCAUUGUGAAUUGUUUGAGGUGUUUGAGUUUUUUUCCCUAAAAGUCCCAUGGGAUCUUGUCUCCCUCUCAUAAGUUUUUACAAAUUCUUUGGAUCCUUCGUGUCGGUUUUUCUGGUUUGUUAUUUCUCAGUGUUUGGUCUGGUUUCUUUUGAUUGGUACGUCUCUAAAUUUCUUGUCUCGUGGGACUCUAACUUUGUUGAAGGUUUUCUUCUUUUUGGAUUGUGUUUGUCUCCUUUUUUUCUCUUCUAUUAAGUGAUCACGUAUGUUGGUGUAGUAGUCUCUUUUCAUUAUAUCAAUGAAAUUUAUGUUUCUGUUUCAAUUUUUUUUGACAUUGAUGAAAGAUCAGUGAGUCCAUGCUAACUAGUGACUAAAACUAGCAUAGCUAGAAAAGUUAACGAGUCUAGGCCAUUAUUUUUUCAACAUCAACACUAUGUCACUAAUGAUCUUGAGCAAGUUUACAAAAAGGUGCCUUUGGGCUCUCUUUCCCAAAUGGGGUGCUGUUUGUGUAGAGCUGGCGAUAAGUCCCAAAGGCACAUCUUCAUUCACUGCCCCUUCUCUUACUUCCAUUAUUUUUCAUCCAAAUUGAAUUAACAGUCUGGUUACCAUCAUAGCCAAGAGAGUCUCUUAGGCAUUAUUGUAUCAACUCAUUUACUAUUUCUCAAGCCUCAACAAGGAACUAGUUUUCUAAUAGGAGUCCCAAGUUAAAGUUGUUAGCCAAAACAACAUCCUCUCAAACAUUAGAGAAAACUAAAACAAGUGGAAAGUUGUUGCUCUCGUUCUAGCCAAGUGCCCAAUUACUUUAUUGAAUACUAAAACAUACUUGGGAAUAAACGUUGCCAAUAGUCCAUGCUUCCUUGCAGUAGCCCUAAUAACUUCCCGUGUGUAAACUAAGUUGUCAGCAGCAUUGAGACAAACAGUAUGCCCUAAAGAAAUCUCAAAUUGGCCUUUCCCAGCUUCCGCGUGCACCUACAAGAGUAGAAACAAACAAACAACCAACAAAAUCGAAGUCUUGGUCAACUUAAAGAGAAACAACCAAUCUUGACUCUAGGAAGACUGAGAGAAAGGACAACAUAUAUGACUAGAUACUUGAUGUGGUAAUGAUCUGUUUUAGGUAUCUAUGGUGUAUAACUUACUCUAGUUAGCAAAUAAAUAAGAAUGGUGCAUAGAAUUAGAGGCAUUACAAAUAAAUGGCAUAUAACCUAUGCAAUAAGUAUAAUUUUCUGUGUUUUGUACAUAGGAUUUAAUUGAAAUAGGUCAAGGGUGGACAUAGCCUAGAAUACAUUAAAAGCACACCUAAUUAUCUACAUACCAUAAAGUUUAGAUCUCAAUGGCAUAGUGUUCCAUUAGCUUAAUUGAUGAGUCCCCCAACACAAAUAUAACAGUAAAUAAUCUACACACUAUAGGUAUGUAAUUGAAGGGUCAAUUUCCUCCAAAGCUUGGAACUUCACAGUUUCACAUUAGACAUCAUUAACUGUAUAUAAGUGAAGGGAAAAAGGAAAGUGGCUGGGAAAGUGGUACAGAAACAAAAUUGUAAACACUAGUUCAGAUGCUAACAUCUAUACAUCUAAAAAAUGUUAUAAGUUAUCAUCCCCACCUACUUCAAUCCAAGUGAGAACUACAUCCUCCAUCCAUAUAUGACAUGAAGUUGCUAACCCACAAAAGUAAUUGACAUGUGUCACUUGAACAAAUAUUAGGGAACCUGACUUUCUGACCUCCAAAACGUAAAUUGUUACAAUGUCCUACAUGCGAUAUUUUUCCAUACCUGUUCCACAGUGAUAUUCAAUGAGCUCAAGGAAUCAACUACUUCAUGAAGAAAAGGAGAGGCAGCAUCAUAUGACGAUGUAGAACAGUAGGGUACUGAAUCAAAUGGCACCCAAUCUUCUUCUCCAUGCCUACAAAAGUUAAUUUACAUAGAUAGAUGGAAACUGGAAAGAUGCAAAAUAACAAAAUGAAUUAAGGCCAUAGAGAAUUGUAUAUGCUACCUAACUGCCUUUUUCAACAGGAAAAACUCGUUUUCAAAGCCUGCGUUCAACACCUGGACACAAGACAUUUAACAGGGUAAAUGUUUUAUAGAUCUUCAAUUCAAAAUACUUGAACAAUCUUCCGUACCAGGUCAAAUUCAUCUUUCAGAAUUCUACAGACCCUACGUAAGGCUUCCCUUGGACAGUAUUCCCAAGCUUCACCGGGUCUAACUUGCAUGUCACCCAAAACCAUCUCCUCCUGUUUGUUCCUGUUGAAAGCAAUGGUAUAGGUUGAACCCAAAGUGAUAUCAAUUAAGGACUGUAUUGUAAAUUCCCUUUUUCUUGACAAAGUUAAAAUACAAAAAUAUACACGCACAACUUCCUUUUCUAAGAGGUGUGCUGCUUGCAAAACUAUUCCAGAAACUCUCUUGAUGGUUUUUUUUAAGCUACCAAAGCUCAAUUAAUAAUUGAACAUGGCUGGAAAAGGUCUAAUAAACUGGACAUAGUAAUUGAGAAUUCUGGAGAGAAGCAGUCAGUUUUUUUUUUUUUGGAUGAAAAAUACACAACAGCCAAUUAAAUUCCAAAUCUUUGCACUCUCCCUAUUCACUUCUCACUUAUCUGCAUACACUAAAAACAGUAGGCAGAGAAGAAUGAACGUUUAUGCUCUUGCUCAUUACCUUUAUCUAAGAUUGAUGGGAUGAAAAAUUUGCAAAUUAUUGAAGGCUUAGCAGCCAAAAGAUAAAUGUAUGCUAUGAACUAGACUAAUUGGGGGAAAACAAGACAGCAAUCAAGGUGCUUGGUAAAUACAGCUGAGUUCUUAUUGAAAUUUUGGGAUUUUAUGAAGCCAAACUUCCUAUCUCUUCUCGAAUUUUUUUUAUAAAAAUGGGAGACUAAAUACGUGUCCAAGAGAACUUUAUUUGUUUAAUUCAAAUGAAAGAAUUAGCAGCCUAAAGAUAACAGGGCAAAUGUUUUGUAAACAAUUUUUUCCGUCUUUGAAUCUAACACCAAAGCCUACAAGGAUUGUUUUGAAACAAUUUUCAAACUGCAAACGCAUUUGGAGUAUAAUUGAAACCAACCGCAUAGUUUAGGAUAUUUUCAUAAUUUGACCUAUAGUCUUUGUAAAGCCAAGAAGUAAAUAUUGAAGUAGGUUGAUAUCCAAUGGUCACCACAAAACAAUCUAAGUAACUGAAAAAGAGUAGCUUGUCUAUGACAGAACACACGAAUAGAUCAUUGUCACGAGAAGACCUUUUCUUUUUAUAUAUGUGAGUGUACGAGUUAGCUUACGCACACCUCGACUAAUCUCACGAGCUGACCUGAUGUAAUUCAAAGUUAGGAUUAAAUUCCUCAUGAAUUCCCUGCCUUUUUUCAGGCUAGGAGAUUGUUAUAUAUUGAUAUUUCAAGGUUAGUUACAAGUGGGUGUCUAACUGUUUUGGUUAGUUAUUGAUUACAGCUGUUCUUUAACUAAUUAAGGAUUUUAACUAACUAACUAACUAUGGAACUAACUAACUAACUAUGGUUUACAUCAUGACCCUUCAACAUUUGAGUGUCAAGAAAACUCGUAGGAAAUUAAUUCCUAGGUAGGUGGCCACUAUGGAUUGAAUCCAUGACCUCUUAGUUAGUUAUUGAGACUAUUCUCUUUUUACCAUUAGGCCAAACCAUGAUGGUUAUGUCAUGAGAAGACUAUUUGUUCAUAUAUUUCGACCUCACAUCUAACAUUCAAAGCUAUUUGAACACAUUGAGAAAUUUUUAUAUCAACACAACUAGUUAAAAGAAUCAAGAGCAAAAAUCAUGAUGCAGAGUAACAAUAAACGUUCUGGAAGUUACAUACCAAGGAACCGCCACUCUAGUUGACAAGUCUGGCAGCAGCCUGAUCUCACCCACACUACUAAGAUUACUGCCUUUAGCAGUACAAUCAGCAUAAGAAGUCAUUGCCAUGGCAGCACAAGCUAAACCAACCCCGGUCCUUUUAACGACAUCAUUGAACCGCUUAAAGGGAACAGCCUGGAAUGAUUAGAACAUAAAUCAAAUAAUGCAAAAAAAGUAAAACAAUAAUGAUGAUGCUGAUGAUACUAAAAAGAAACUCCAACCCUAUGGAAAAAGAAUGAAAAGAGGAAGGUGUUUACAUGUACAUUGGGAUGUAUAGAAAAGAAAAAGUACAAAUCCAGUAUACAUUACAAUAGUAGGGAAGCCCCCUCACCCUCUCGAUAGAGGUGCUUGCUCCAUGCCCAAGAAGUGUUUGAAAGGAAAGAGUGACUCCAUUUCUCUUAGUGAAGAAAUUAAUGAUUUAUUUGAAAAUGUUCAAGGGUCCCACAAAUAAAACAAUGAAUUUGAUGGAUUUUUUUAAAAAAAUUUAAUUAGUUAAUUAUUUAUUUAUUUAUUAUAUUCUUUUUUCAACAAUGGGCAGGCGGAUGGGCCUCUGCCUCCUAUCAUCUUCUUUGUUUUCCAAGAAAAUUAGAUUAAGAAAAGUAUAGGUACUCCAAGUUGGGACAUCCCAUUGACAACACAAGCUCACACAUGGAAAGAAUAAUAACAAAGAAAACUCACACGGCAUCUCUGUUGUCCUGAACCAUCCACCCAAAUGAUCCGAACAAGCUUGACAUCCUCUUGCACAACAUUGGUCUUCAUCAAAGGAAUAGAAACCGCCGAACUAUUUGGCAUGAAACUCUCUAUCGUCAGACUCAUCUUGUACAAUUGUAUGGCGUUUUGUGUAAACAUAUGAUUCACAGCUUCAACGGCCUCAGAAAUUGAGAGAUCACCAUCAAUACAAGCAUCCCGUAGAACAGAUAAGACAACAUCCCUAGAUUUCUUUGCACCUACAAAACAAGGAAAAAUUGUUUGAACUAUGAACUGAUAAUAAGUGCAAAUAAAUGGAAGUAUUCAUGAGUUACUUUACUACUUUAUCAUUGUCCCAUUGAUACAUGUAUUCUUCUUUUCAUUACAUUUCGAUUUCCAUAUACAUUUAAGACGUUCAUACAUAUUUUUAUUCAAGUACCUAAAUAGUAGGUUUCAGGAAAGGCAUAUCCAUCUGUGCUGAACAUCACCUGCAGUUUGGUUGCCACACAACCCAAACUUAUAAACUUAAGCAUGCAAAAAUAUAAAUAAAACACAUACCGUAAACUAUAACUUCCAUAUUUAUUCAAGAAGGUUGCUUUAUGUUACAUGUUUCAGUAAACAACUUAUAAAAAAUUUUAAUAGUUAGUACUGCACUUCUUUCACCUUUUUAAUUGGAGCAAGCUCUAACAGUUCCUUGAGUGCCG
rnacentral:lncRNA from 1 species